rnacentral:lncRNA from 1 species
CACACACACACUCAGGUGCCCAGCGAGGAACCCACCAGGUGGAAACCCUCAGGGCUCAGCCUGCCCUGUGCGCGGCCCUGCGCCUGUGCCGCCACGGGGUCAUUAGGGGGAGGCAGGCACAGGUGGUCUCUUGCACACCUGCCCCAGCCUGUGGUGGGGACGCUGUGGGUACUUCAGGGCGCUGGGGCUCACCUGACACAGCGGCUCUCCAAGGGGUUCCGUCCUCACCAGAAGCAGGAUGAAGCUCAGAGCACAGCAAGGAAGUGUAUUCCAUGUUUGUUUGUGGAUACGCACCAGAAGAAUAUCUUUGAGGAAAUUGCUAAUGGCCAUUACCUAUGGGGACUAGGACAGGAAGAUUCUCCUCUUCAUGCACAAAUAUGUAUCACGAAUUCAAGGAAAGCAAAGUGGCAGUGUCAUCACCCCAAGCAGAAGCCAGCCCUGGGCAGAUGGCACCUGGAGGAGGCAGCCCUCAGCCUUGGCCUGGGCCUGGAGGGGACUGUUAUCAAGGCUGCUGAUGUGCUUUUCCUGAGUUUCCUCACGUGAGCCCUGGUUCUUGCUGACUGCUGGCCCUGUCUGGGCAGUUGGAUGCAGUUGCUACUCCUACAGGAUGAGCAGGCUUCUGGAAAGGGCAGAAUCAUUCCCUUUGGAACAUUUUAUUCUCUUUCUCUUUAAGUAAAGUUCUAGUUCCUCCUACACCCUGUGUGACAACGGCUUUCUUAACAGUUUUAGGUGUCCUUGCUUCAAAAGGACAUUGUAACAGGAAACUGUUACUCCUACUGCCGAAAACUGAAUGCACGAGAUUGUCUCAUUAGAGUCGGAUUCAAUAUUCCCUGGCUACUGUAAAGGAUGCUGUGGGGCACAUGGGGUGCAGGUCUCUGCACUGUGAAGGAUGCUGCAGGGCACACAGGGCUGCAGAUCUCUCUACUAUGAAGGAUGCUGCAGGGCACAUGGGGUGCAGGUCUCUCUACUAUGAAGGAUGCUGCGGGGCACACGGGGCUGUAGGUCUCUGCACUGUGAAGGAUGCUGCAGGGCAUAUGGGGUGCAGGUCUCUGCACUGUGAAGGAUGCUGCAGGGCACAUGGGGCUGCAGGUUUCUGCACUGUGAAGGAUGCUGCAGGGCACAUGGGGUGCAGGUGUCUCUCAGAUUCUAUUAUCAGCUUCUAUGGAUGUAGACCCAGAAGUGGAAGAGCUGUAUCACAUGGCAGUUCUAUUUUUAAUUUUUUGAGGAACAUCCAUACUGUUUUCCAUAGUGGCUGCACCAAUUUCCACUCCCACCAGCAGUGCACAGAGGUUUCCUUUUCUCCACGUCCUCAUUACCAUUAGUAUAGUAUAACCACUUGUUAUCUCUUGUCUUUUCGAUGACAGCCAUUCUAACAGGUGUGAGGUGAUAUCUCAUGUGGCCUUGAUUUGCAUUUCCCUGAUGAUGCGUGACGUUAAGCACCUUUUCAUGUACCUGUUGGCCAUUUGUAUGUCAUCUUUAGAGAAAUAUCUAUUCAGGUCCUUUGUCCAUUUUUUUUUUUAUGAGGAAGAUUGACCCUGAGCUAACAUUGGUGCCAACCUUCCUCUAUUUUUUGUGUGGGACGCCUGCCACAGCAUGGCUUGAUGAGUGUUGCGUAGGUCCACACCCAGGAUCCAAACCCAUGAAGGCUGGGCUGCUGAAGCAGAGCACGCAAACCUAACCACUGUGUCACCAGGCCAGCCCCCUUUGCUCAUUUUUAAUUGGAUUAUUUGUGGGUUUUUUGCUAUUGAGUUGUGUGAGUUCCUUGUAUAUUUUGGAUAUUAUCCUUGUAUCAGAUUUGCGCUUUGCAUAUAUUUUCCUCCAUUCCAUAGGUGGGAUGCAACAUUAAAUUAAAAGUCCUACAUUACUUUGAAAGUCACCUCAAUUGGUAAUGAAUUGGCUAGAUGCACUGCAGUGUUAAUUAGCAGUGUGGAUUAAUGCAUAUGUUUAAAAGAUAGAUGAGCGCUCCUUACAAAGAAACAAUGAAACUGCUAAAUCUGCUGCCAAAUCGUUGUGAUGUGAAAAACCUCAAGGAGCGCUGCAGAGACCAGCACCUUAUGAUGACAGUAAAAAUAUUUGCCAAGUACAGUUUGUCAGCAUCUGAAAAAAGGCUGUGAGUACAGGAGUGGAAAUGGCUUAAUUGAGGCUUUAUUUUGGAGGAGAAAAAUUGGCCGCGAUGGAAUUGCUACAAUCUGUCACGGGAUUGGGGAUAUUCAGUUUUCCAAAAACAUCUUAUCUCCACCCCCGUCAGCACUUUGUACAAAAAACUGCUGCAUUCGCCAAGAGUUUUGCUUUUUUAUGUUGAGUUUAAAUGUUAAGAUGAUAUCAUUGACAACAUUUUGCACUUUUCUUCUUGAAAAAAUAUUUUCACCUGAAAGUCAUCUGUUCUUCAAUCCCAUCCUUAUAAAACACAUUUUUGACUGACGCUUAAAGUUUCGACCAAAAAAAGACACACCUGGAGGGGAGGCAGGCCCAGCAGGCAGUGUCUAGCCCUGUGCGGGGUUUCCUGGACCGCUGGCUCCCUGCUGGGGCACAACUGGAAGGUCAUCUCUAGGUGGUCUAACUCCGGGGGAAUGUGCCCGUGGGGUUAGUGCCUGGCCCAGGCUCGGCUCCCUGAGACCUUCUAGGACAACCUCUGUGCUUUGUCUUGACAGUUCCCCGAGUCGGGCUCCUCUGAGGACGGGAGCCCUUCUUCAGUGACGCGUUGGCUGUCCUCCAGACCCAUUCUAAAGCGCAGCACUGCCCAGAGCAGGCACAGGAGGCCAUCGGGCCAGGUCCCCUACUGGCAGGGAAGGGGCCCUGCACGUGGGUCCCUGUUGCCUGCACGCUAUUCCUGGGACAUGUCGUCCUCCUCAGCCGCCCUCCAAGAGAGGCGGCUUUCCACGGUCGGGGCCUCAGGGGAAUCCACUGGGAGGCUAGAGCCCGACUUGGACCCCUGGGAUCCUGGGGAGGACCCGCUUGAGCCAGCCUCGGUCACCCACCAGCGUCAACAGAGGGAGUCCCCCCCAGCGAGGAGCCGGCCACGGAAAUUGGGACUGCCUGGGAUCCCAGACACAGCCAGGAGGCAGCGUCGGGACCUGAAGAAGCUGGCAGCUGAGAUGGAGCGAGUGAGGCAGUGGGAGAUCCGCCUUCUUCAGAACAUUGAAGAAGCCAUCCAGCACGAACUCACCAUCGACGACGACUGAGUGCCUGGCACAGGGGCCAGGAAGCGAACGUGCACAGGAGCCGCUCCCCGGCCGGACUUGCCCCUCUAUCUGUGAACACCGUGCCCUCAGGGCUUGCCCCACGUCCAGCCUUGACCUCUGUGUGCCUCUCCGGUGAGGUGGGGGGAACUUGGUGAAGAUCUCCUUACUCAGAUCUGAAAUGUAGCUCUCAGAGGCACCAACUGGGAAGAGGGUACAGGGGGCAGAGGUGCAGACAGGUGAGGUGGGAGCUCACAGUGCCACGCCCGGGGUACCCAGAAAAGUGAUGUAACCCCCCCACCCUGCCUGCGUCCUCCACCCGUGUAGGGAGCCUUCUACUCUGGGAUGACAUGAGGACAUAGGGAACAGGACAAUGUUAUGCAGUGACCCGCCCACCCACUGGCAAGGCCUGGGGCUUCACACUAGUGGGCCAUAGGGUGUCGCUGCGGGAAAGGCCCAAAGCCAUGGCCCGUGACUAGAAGGCGCUCUGGGGGUCUGUGGGCACUGGUUUUGUUUUUUUAGUGGGGGGGGUGGGCUAGAAGGAUAUAACCUCCUGCAGUAGCACAGGGACCGGCUCCUGCCCCGUCCUCUCCCGUGUUGAGCUCACUGCUUUAAAUAAGGAUCCCACUGAAGGGAUGGAGGUGCUGCUGACCGCGUACCGUAAGGAAGAAGAGACGGGUACCCAGGGGCUUCAGUUAACAUGGAAAACCAACAUCAAACCUCCCAGGUCCGAACAUGUCAGACACGUCUUUUUGUGGGCACGUCAUGGUUAUAAACAGAGUUAGAUUUUAUCUUGUAAAUGUUUUCAUCCCCACUUUAUCUAAAAAAAUUUUUCCCCCUUCUAAAAACCAAGAAUACUUACAUUUCCAGUCGCAUCCUGUGCCUCCUCCAGGGCCCCUCCUCCAGGGCCCCUCCUCCAGGCCUGUUGGCCAUGGCCUGACUUUUCUCAGGGAUGCAGCUAGAGCUUAUUGCUGGAGCAGAAUCAAACGGAGCACCCUAAACAGAAGCUCAGGCUGGAUGGAAACCACAGGGCACGGGAGAUCCUAUGGGCAGGUGAGGUUAGCAUGCCGUGUUCUAAGAGAUGGGUGAAGUCUCACUCUCAAGCCACAGGAUGGGCAGAGAACUCCAGACCCAGAACUGGUUCUCCCUGGAACCUCAUCUGCAUUUCUUUAGAGGUUUCCAGAAAAGAAGGAAUGAGGAAAUUCUUCACAAGAGGGGUUAGAUGCAGGCUGGGGGCUGCAUUUAUUGGGAUGGUUAUGUCACAUUUCAUCUGCUGAUGUUGUAUGUGCAGAUGAAGUUAUUGACGAGGUAGUAUGUUUCAACAUUUGUAAGUUUACGAGCUAAUUCCUCCUUUAUACGCUAUCAACUUGCUUUUUCCUUUGUGAUAAUUAUCAGGCUUUUAAAAAUGAUAACAGUUUAAUUUUUCAAAUAAAAAGGAUAAAGAAGCAGAAAAACUCCUGUAACUGCAUAACAUAGACAUAAAUGCUUUAGGGUAAUUCUAUCCCAUCUUUAUUAUUAAAAAUAAAAUGUUUUUUAGAAUUAUUUCCAAAGUCUGCGUUUGGUGCAAAAUGAUUCGGAUAUUAUGAUUCAGUGAUAUCUCUGUCUGGUUCACACUUUGAAAAGUUCAGAUUCAGAAUGAGUCCAGAGAGGAAGAGAGGUAAUGUAGGGCCUUUGGGGAACUUGUUCUUGAAAGAUUGGGAAUUACAGGUACUUGGGAGAAAGUUUUAUGGUAAGGUAAUUUCCUAGAUGUUUAUGUUGCAUUGUCUCUCAUGUAUUAACAAAAUGGCUUAUAUUUACACAAUGGAGCAUAUGGAAGUAUCCAUAGGCCCUUGAGUUAAAGUGUUUAAAUUGCAAUUCUCUUGGAUAUUUCACAAAUAAAACAGCAUGGAUUGAGAACAUGUUCCGUCCACAGGAAGAUGCCAGAGAAGCAGAGACUGGAACAGUGUCUCAGGGAGGAAUUGUGAAAUGAUGUAAUGCCACACAAGAAAUAUCCCAGCCAAUAAACGAUGUCUUAGAAAUUAAAAAUAUAACAGAAAUGAAUAAUUCUAUAGCAGCAUUGGAAGAUAAAAUUAAGGUGGGCCCUAAAUCUAAUGACACAGUGAAGAAGACACAGACGCAGAGGGGAAGCCACAUGAAGACAGCGGCAGAGAUUGGAGCGAUGCAGCCACAAGCCCGGGAUACCUGGAGCCACCAAAAGCUGGAAGACACAAGGCCCUCUGCUAGAGCCUCUGGCAGGAGCAUGGCCUUGCUGACACCUUGAUUUCAGAUUCCUGGUCUCUAGAAAUGUGAGAGGAUACGAUUCUGUUGUUUUAAGUCCCCCAGAUUGGGGCACUUUAUACAGGAGCCCCAGGAGACUAACUCAAGCACUUACGUGGUCGUCCUGUUCGUUCAUUCAUCAUUCGGUGAAUUUCUGUGGAGUAGAUGAGUGAAAAGAACAGCCUCCC